rnacentral:rRNA from 1 species
GGGAAACUGUCGCUAAUACCGCGUAAUGUCUAAGGACUAGAGGGUGGGACUUUCGGGCCACCUGCCAUAAGAUGAGCCCAAGUGGGAUUAGGUAGUUGGUGGGGUAAAGGCCUACCAAGCCGACGAUCUCUAGCUGGUCUGAGAGGAUGACCAGCCACACUGGAACUGAGACACGGUCCAGACUCCUACGGGAGGCAGCAGUGGGGAAUAUUGCACAAUGGGGGGAACCCUGAUGCAGCCAUGCCGCGUGAAUGAAGAAGGCCUUCGGGUUGUAAAGUUCUUUCGGUGAUGAGGAAGGGUGAUGUUUUAAUAGAGCAUUACAUUGACGUUAGUCACAGAAGAAGCACCGGCUAACUCCGUGCCAGCAGCCGCGGUAAUACGGAGGGUGCGAGCGUUAAUCGGAAUGACUGGGCGUAAAGGGCACGCAGGCGGUGACUUAAGUGAGAUGUGAAAGCCCCGAGCUUAACUUGGGAAUUGCAUUUCAUACUGGGU